AUUGAACGCUGGCGGCAGGCUUAACACAUGCAAGUCGAGCGGGGUGAUGGUGCUUGCACUAUCACUUAGCGGCGGACGGGUGAGUAAUGCUUAGGAAUCUGCCUAUUAGUGGGGGACAACAUCUCGAAAGGGAUGCUAAUACCGCAUACGUCCUACGGGAGAAAGCAGGGGAUCACUUGUGACCUUGCGCUAAUAGAUGAGCCUAAGUCGGAUUAGCUAGUUGGUGGGGUAAAGGCCUACCAAGGCGACGAUCUGUAGCGGGUCUGAGAGGAUGAUCCGCCACACUGGGACUGAUACACGGCCCAGACUCCUACGGGAGGCAGCAGUGGGGAAUAUUGGACAAUGGGGGGAACCCUGAUCCAGCCAUGCCGCGUGUGUGAAGUAGGCCUUAUGGUUGUAAAGCACUUUAAGCGAGGAGGAGGCUCUUUUGGUUAAUACCCAAGAUGAGUGGACGUUACUCGCAGAAUAAGCACCGGCUAACUCUGUGCCAGCCGCCGCGGUAA
rnacentral:rRNA from 1 species